UACGUAGGUGGCGAGCGUUGUCCGGAAUUACUGGGUGUAAAGGGAGCGUAGGCGGGAGAGCAAGUCGACUGUGAAAACUACGGGCUUAACUUGUAGACUGCAGUUGAAACUGGUUUUCUUGAGUGAAGUAGAGGUUGGCGGAAUUCCGAGUGUAGCGGUGAAAUGCGUAGAUAUUCGGAGGAACACCGGUGGCGAAGGCGGCCAACUGGGCUUUAACUGACGCUGAGGCUCGAAAGUGUGGGGAGCAAACAGG
rnacentral:rRNA from 1 species